rnacentral:rRNA from 1 species
GACGAACGCUGGCGGCGUGCCUAAUACAUGCAAGUAGGACGCAGUUGCGAACGGGUGAGUAACGCGUAGGUAACUACCUAUUAGAGGGGGAUAACUAUUGGAAACGAUAGCUAAUACCGCAUACUAGUAGAUGGACCUGCGUUGUAUUAGGUAGUAGGUUGGGUAAUGGCCUACCAAGGCAACGAUCCAUAGCCGACCUGGGGGGGUGAUCGGCCACACUUGGACUGGAAACCCGCCCAGAACCCUACGGGAAGGAGCAGUAGGGAAACUUCGGGAAUUGGGGGAAACCUGACCGAGCAACGCCGCGGUAGGGAAGAAGGGUUUCGGAUCGGAAAGCUCUGUUGUUAAGGAAGCGGUACUUAACCAGAAAGGGACGGCUAACUACGUGCCAGCAGCCGCGGUAAUUC